GAUGAACGCUGGCGGCGUGCCUAAUACAUGCAAGUCGAGCGAACAGACGAGGAGCUUGCUCCUCUGACGUUAGCGGCGGACGGGUGAGUAACACGUGGAUAACCUACCUAUAAGACUGGGAUAACUUCGGGAAACCGGAGCUAAUACCGGAUAAUAUAUUGAACCGCAUGGUUCAACAGUGAAAGACGGUCUUGCUGUCACUUAUAGAUGGAUCCGCGCCGCAUUAGCUAGUUGGUAAGGUAACGGCUUACCAAGGCAACGAUGCGUAGCCGACCUGAGAGGGUGAUCGGCCACACUGGAACUGAGACACGGUCCAGACUCCUACGGGAGGCAGCAGUAGGGAAUCUUCCGCAAUGGGCGAAAGCCUGACGGAGCAACGCCGCGUGAGUGAAGAAGGUCUUCGGAUCGUAAAACUCUGUUAUUAGGGAAGAACAAAUGUGUAAGUAACUAUGCACGUCUUGACGGUACCUAAUCAGAAAGCCACGGCUAACUACGUG
rnacentral:rRNA from 1 species